UACGUAGGGUGCGAGCGUUGUCCGGAAUCAUUGGGCGUAAAGCGCGUGUAGGCGGCUCGUUAAGUCCGGUGUGAAACCUUGGGGCUCAACCCCAAGCCUGCACUGGAUACUGACGAGCUCGAGUCCGGGAGGGGAGAGCGGAAUUCCUAGUGUAGCGGUGAAAUGCGCAGAUAUUAGGAAGAACACCGGUGGCGAAGGCGGCUCUCUGGAACGGUACUGACGCUGAGACGCGAAAGCGUGGGGAGCGAACAGG
rnacentral:rRNA from 1 species